GGCGUGAUGGCCAAGUGGUAAGGCGUCGGUCUCGUAAACCGGAGAUCACGGGUUCGAGCCCCGUUCAUGCCU